rnacentral:rRNA from 1 species
AACAAACGCUGGCGGCGUGCCUAACACAUGCAAGUCGAACGAGAAAGUCGGUUUCGGCCGAUGAGUAAAGUGGCGCACGGGUGAGUAACGCGUGGAUAAUCUACCCUUUAGUCCGGAAUAACUUGCCGAAAGGUGAACUAAUACCGGAUGACAUCCCGGGUUCUCCGGAAACCGGGAUCAAAGAAGGCCUCUGCUUGCAAGCUUUUGCUGAAGGAUGAGUCCGCGUACCAUUAGCUAGUUGGUGGGGUAAUGGCCUACCAAGGUUAUGAUGGUUAGCUGGUCUGAGAGGAUGAUCAGCCACACUGGAACUGAAACACGGUCCAGACUCCCACGGGAGGCAGCAGUGAGGAAUAUUGCGCAAUGGGGGCAACCCUGACGCAGCAACGCCGCGUGAGUGAGGAAGGUUUUCGGAUUGUAAAGCUCUGUCGAGCGGAAAGAAAUGCACGAUGGCUAAUAUCCAUCAUGCUUGACGGUACCGCUAGAGGAAGCACCGG